AGCGUAGACGGCACGGCAAGCCAGAUGUGAAAGCCCGGAGCUCAACCCCGGGACUGCAUUUGGAACUGCUGAGCUAGAGUGUCGGAGAGGCAAGUGGAAUUCCUAGUGUAGCGGUGAAAUGCGUAGAUAUUAGGAGGAACACCAGUGGCGAAGGCGGCUUGCUGGACGAUGACUGACGUUGAGGCUCGAAAGGCGUGGGGAGCAAACA
rnacentral:rRNA from 1 species